AUUGCUUCUUGGCCUUUUGACUAAGAUCAAGUGUAGUAUCCAUUCUUAUUAGUUUAAUAUAUGAUACAGCCUCUAUCUGAGGACAAUGUAUUAAAUGGAUUUUGGGAGCAGAGUUUGCUCUGUCGACUCUGUGUACCAACCUGGUAUUGCAUACCUCUAGGAUUGGUACACCCCCU
ensembl:snRNA U2 U2 spliceosomal RNA